GGGUCAGUAGGUUGGUCGUGCCACCGGUACGUACUGGUCUCACUGAUUCCUCCUUCCUGAAGAACCGUAGUGCCAUUAAUUUGGUGUUGCGGGGAAACAGGACAGUUACUUUGAAAAAAUUAGAGUGUUUAAAGCAAGCUAACGCUUGAAUACAUUAGCAUGGAAUAAUGAAAUAGGACGAUCGAUCCUAUUUUGUUGGUUUCUAGGAUUGACGUA
rnacentral:rRNA from 1 species